UAGAGAUCUUAUAAUGAAGCUUGACAUGACUCCCUUUUCACCUAGGCAAGUGUAACAUCAUGUUUUCUGUUAUCUAAACUGGCACAGUUCAUAUCGAAAAAGAUUGGGAGAAGUGUCAACAUCAAUCAGAAUUCAACAUCUAGUGGUAUGUCACCAUUAAUACACUUCAACACGCUGCUGUGUUCUUUGCUGUACGAGAAAGAAUACACAGAACCACGGCUACAGGACUACUACAGUAACUCUUUCUUUGAGGAGGCCAUAUUCUGGAAAUCCAGGUUUCUUCGGGUAUGAAAAAAAUAUGUGCACUUGGGGAGAUAAGCAAACAAUGUUAUGGGAACUCCGGAUAUACAUGGCAUACUUGACAAUUUGUCUGAUUUGUGACAAUUUCAAAUCAUUUUUGUUUUCAGAUAGUUUACAUUUUUCCAAAAAAGGAUAGUUUACUUUUUUACAUAU